CCUACGGGCGGCAGCAGUGGGGAAUAUUGCACAAUGGGGGAAACCCUGAUGCAGCGACGCCGCGUGGGUGAAGGAGCGUUUCGGCGCGUACAGCCCUGUCAGCGGGGAAGAAGAAAGAAGGUACCCGACCAAGAAGCCCCGGCUAACUACGUGCCAGCAGCCGCGGGAAUACGUAGGGGGCGAGCGUUAUCCGGAAUGACUGGGUGUAAAGGGAGCGUAGACGGCGAGUUAAGCCUGAAGUGGAAGCCCGCGGCCCAACCGCGGAACGGCUUGGGGAACUGUUUUGCUGGAGUAUGGUAGGGGUAAGCGGAAUUCCUGGUGGAGCGGUGAAAU
rnacentral:rRNA from 1 species